AUGGUCCCAUGGGCAGAAAGAGCCUAGAUCCCUGAGUCAUCCUUUGGCUGAGAAUUUUACACUUGGCUUUGCAGAAGGGAAAAUGAACCAUUUUUGUGUAGACUCACUAAUAUUUGGGAACUUAUUUAUUAACACCUCAUAGAUUAGCCUGCCCUGGAUAAUUCCUCUUUCACCAGCUCUUUCAGGAAUAACUUCUCUCCUGUCUUCUUAAAGUGUAGCCACAUAAAAAUUUGUCUGUUGGGAGAUAAAACAUUUAUAUAACUUUCCUGUUAUGUUCAAUCAUCACAGUACUACAGGUUUUUUCUUUUCUUUUUUUCUUUUUUUUUUUUUGUCCCGGCUCUUCUUCAGGAACAUCAUCAUAUCAGGAACAGAAUGAUUCAAUCUGGCUUCAAGGAAAGGGUAUCUACACAGAAAAUAAUAGGAAAUUUGUUACCAGUGGUGGAAGAUAGGCUGAAGAGACCAAGGGAAAUACUUGAGAAAAAAACCUUGUGAAGAAUGCAUUCCUUGAAGAGAAGGGAAGGUUCUGAUAUGUGCACAUUAUUCUAAGAGUCCAUGAAUUUUUUCAACUGUCUAAAUGGCUAAGGGGAAAAUGAUGAGAUUCUUAUGACUCUGACACAUAGACUAAGUUAAAGCCUCUGUUUAAAUGGAAGUGAAUUAUAUGGUUUGAAUUCAUUGUGGAUGGGGAGUGUUUCAUGGAUCCUUAGGCAUCCUAAACCCUUUCAGUCACCUUAAAUUAGCAGGUGAAAGACUGUCUUCCUAGUCAUGGAUCUACCAAUUAAGUACCCAAGCCCAGUAUAUAAGUAACUAAUUCUAACUGCUUCUUAUAGUCUUCACUUCCUUAUAAUGGCUCCCAUGCCACGUAAAACUCAUAUUGAAUUUGUGUGCAUUUCAUAUGUUAAUCUGUGUUAUGUCAGUUUACUUAUUAGACUCAAUGGAUGGAGGAUGGAGAAAGCAAGUAACACAGUGAAGAUGGGUCAAUAUGCAUCACCUCCAGAAGCUAAUUCCCAGGGCUCUCUUUUCUAGGAGAGAAGUUAGGCUAAAGAUCUCUAAAGUGUCUGGUAGGAGUUGAUUCCUGGUUUGGCCUGGUUAUCAAAGGGCACCCAGACACCAAGACAAAGGGGUGAGGACCAAGAAUGAGAACAAAAUGAGAACACUUGGCAGAGGAGGGCAUGGAGGAGUUGGAGGAGUGGAAGCCAAGGAAAGUGAUGGAAAUUGAAGAGCAUAGCAAUAUUGAAUAACACAUCCUCAUGGAAUAAGCACCAGCCACACUGCAGUCUACCAAUAUGCCUUGCACACUUGCACAAAUGCUGCCAGAGUGACAUCCCUGCUGGGUCGACUGAAUACCAUCUCAUUUCUCACUUACACAAUCAAUGAUUCCUUCUCUUCUUCCCUUCUGCAUGGACACUUUGCUGAACAUAGUUUUGUUUUUGCUGGCCUGACUAGAAAAAAAAAAAAAAGACUUGUUUAGGUAAGAUGCUUAAUUAACCAAUGAAUAGUGCUCUCUUGUUCCUUUCAAGCUGUCUCCCGCAUUUUAAAUUUACUGGACAAUGCUAGUAAACUCAAAUGGGACCUAAUGGUUUUCCUUGGGGAUAGAGAAAGUUAGAAAAUUGCUAAGUAAACACAGCAUAGUGAAGACAAAGCAAUGCCAAAUUCAAAUCUUAAUGAUACCACACACAUUACACAGGUAGUAAAGGAGAGGAUGUCAACAACGUUUGCUUUUUCAUACACAUUAAAAUUUUUAAGAGCUAACUGUUCCAGGAGCAACCAUGUCAAAUCUUUUUAUGCACAAAAUGAUUGAAAAAUGAAACAUAAAAAUAUUUUCUUAUUUGUAUUAAAGAUUCCAGCCUCUCAGACACAUAAUCUGAAGGUUUUUUUUUUUACUUCUUUUUAAUCAGAAUUUUCUUCUUGAAUCCGGAAGUCAAUCCUCCAUUCAUAAUUUUAAAACUUUUUGAAUUAUAUGCUUUAGCCUUUCUAAAUCUGAUUUUUAUUUCAUAGGAAGGAGGAGAAACCUAUUACAAGUGGGCAUUGUGAUUUUAUAAUCUUAGGGUACAUUAUUUUCUCCAAGUAUGUCCACCUGCCUUUAACAAAUAUAUUUAUUUCAUCCUUAUUGACUCUUUAUUAUUAGUUCUGUCUUUGGAUAAGAGUCUGUUCUUUUCCAGGGAACAUGUCCUCAUUUUUUUUCUUUGUUAAGGCAUUUUCUUUUGUAGUAGCUGGCAAUUUGUGACUUCACCACACACUUGGCAGAUAUCCUUAUUCCUCGUAAUGAUCACAUCAACAUCAGCAAUGAAUAUCAAUGAUAAUGAUGUCCCUCUUCAGGCUCUUUCCUAGGCUGAUGCAUCUGGCCUCCUUGAAUGGCAUUCAUUAGAACCAGGCACCAAGAUAAUAAUACACCGAAGCCAGUGAUGCCAGCCUUUCUCUCUUUGACCAAUUACCUCCUGGACCUUGUUCAAAUGGAAACCAAACCACCCUGAAUAACUUUACUCAUUUGUAGAAGUUAGGAAAAUACAUGAGAAGCUACAAAUAAAACCUCAGAGUUCUUUUUUUGGACGUUAUAAAGAGAUGUUCAUUCUAACUAUAUAAUAUCAGCAUUUUCUUAUGCCAUUAUUUGUCAGCACUGCAGAGCAGAGAAUGAGUUUUAUACAGAUAUUCAAAGUGAUAGUGUAUAAAGUAUUGAAAGUUUAGGGCAUAUAUUUAUAUCCUCAACUGUAGGAUAACCUGAUGGUCAUUAAAUUAAAGUCUAGGGCUAUAGUAAUAUUGGAUUAAGAGAGAUUUCUGAACUGUUAUAUCAAUCAAAGUUAUACGAAUUUGAUGAUUAGUGGCUAUAUCACUCAGACAAUUAUCACAAUAUAAUUCUGUAAUGAAUAACAAUAAAAAUAAAGCGUAGUAUUAUGAUACUCAUAUAGGAUGCCCGAUUAUUAUUUUUUCAGUACAACAUGGUAACUGGAAAAUAAACACAGUAAAGAAAUAGAGUUAUUAGCAACACUACAAAACCAGAUUGUGAAUGAGUCAAAAUGUCAGAGUGAUGAUAAGUGUUUGUGGAAAGCAGCUGGAGAUCCUAAUUAAAUCAUAGUUUACACACUUUGAUAGUACUGAUUUCUGACAUUGACAUGUAUACAAAACAUACCAUAUGGUUGCCAUUUUAUAGGCAUAUUUUUACAUAUAUGUUUGUAUGCAUAUAUAGAUAUACAUAUAAGCAUAGAUGUAGACCAAAACUCCUCAUAAAAAGCUUAGCACAACUUUAAAUAAUUUUACACCAACCAUAUAAUCUUUGUUAACUGAUAUUCUGCUAAUCAUAUCUUUCUUUUAAUUGGUGUUUCAGAACAUGUACAGUAACAUUAUGUUUAAUGAUAUUGUAGGAUAGCUUAACAAUUUAAAAAUGGAUUUUGGAGUUAUUGCUUAGAAACCAAAGAAAGGAAAUUAUUUGAGAACUACAAUAGGGUUUCACCAGAAUAUUCCAUUUUUAACAACACCAGGUAACAAGGAGUUAGUAUUUUUAUGUUAGUCAUACAUUUACUUAUGUUCACUGAUAUCUGCCUUUUAUCUCAAUUAACUUAUAAACUUCUCAAGGACAGGGCAUUUGUUAAAAAUAUUUGUUUCUAUGUCUGGUUAUGGUCUUUCAAUAUAGACUGAAGGUUCAUCUCAAAUGAUAAAUGUAACAUGAAAUCACCUCAUAGAUUGUGCUAAUUUAGAUACUAUUCUGUGUUAGCUGUGGUAGCUCAAUUAAGCUGUACACCCAGUGCCAUAGGCAACAGACAUCCAAGUGUUAGGUCUACCCAGAAGUAAAAGGAUCAGGAGCUACUCACAUAUUGGAGAAGAAUCUCAUCAACCAUGAGCUUGGCACACAUGAAUAAGUAAGUCAUUGUAAAACUUUGUUAAAAACGUUUUAAUUUUGUUCAAAUGUUUUAAGUGUUUAGAGAAAAAAAGUUUUGGUUCCUAAAGAGAACUACAAUAAAACAAA
rnacentral:lncRNA from 10 species